CCUCUUCAAAAUCCACAAACACUCGGAUCUCGAUCGGUACUUGACUCGUAUAUAUGCUUUGAUGAAAUAAAAAGAUUGACAGUCGUUGUUUGCGGGCGUAGCAUCAUCAAGAUUCACGCACAUGCAAUUAACUUGAAAGUUUCUCUCUUUGCUAAAGUUUCUUUCAAAGUGAGAAUCUUGAUGAUGCUGCAUCGGCAAUAAACCACUAUACAAAAGAGAAGACUCUCUCUCUCACUCUCUCUCUCUCUCUCUCUCUCUCUCUCUCUCUCUCUCUUUCACAGUCUCACAAGUCUUUCACGGUCACACCAGUCGCCAAGGCAACUUUUUUCACUUCUAUGAUUCCUUGCUUUCGACUGUUAGAUCUGUGAUUAUUCUUCUGAGAAAAGCUGAGUGAUUGAGUCUGUUUAUGGAGAGAGAGAGAGAGAGAGAGAUAGACUUGAGCCUCGAUGAUGCUGCAAAGCCUUUUAAAGCAUUUUGAAAAGAGGCUGGUAGGUGUGGACAUCUCUGCACCGGAUAUUGUAAGAGGACGGUCGAUUGGCAGGACAUAGCCAAGUUCUUGGCCCUCUCAUAGUCCUGUGCAGAUGUCCACACUUAAACAGUUUUACACGUAAAAUACUUUGAAAACCCUUCAUACCCUCAUUACAGAUACAAUACAUGAACAGAUACAGAUACGUGCCGUAUAUGCAUUCAUACCAAUAAAAUAUUAUAUUUUUCCUUACGAUUGGAUGCACAAAAAUACUUUUGUAUGGCAGGGCGCAACUUGGCGUGGACUCACAUUUGUACGACGUAAUGCAUGAGAACAAGUGGGGAUGCUCUAGAGAAAUUUCUGGACAAAAUUCUGAGUGGAUCUCUUGAUUUAAUUUUCGUUUGGAAAUCAAAGAAGGGUCAAGAGAUCCAAUUAUAUGGAAAUUAUUUAACAUUUGGUCCAUCUUAAAUAACAUGUAAGGGGGCAUCAUUAAUCAAUGAGGACCACAGAUAUACAAUUAGUAGUUGCUUUGUUUAUUCUUCCUUUUUUCAUCAUUGUAUAAAGUUGGUCCUAUUUUGUACCUAAAUUUAUUUCUUGCCAAGGCCCCUCAUCAUCCCUCAUGUUGAGCUAGAACAUGAAAACUUUGUCACAUGGGAAAUUAUGAGUACAUAACAAAACUAUGUCAA